rfam:Nestor notabilis contig68706, whole genome shotgun sequence.
ACAAAGACUUUUUUUAAAGCCACAAAGACUUUUAUUUAAAUACUU